CGAAAGGCGUAGUCGAUGGAAAACAGGUUAAUAUUCCUGUACCACCUGUUAGGAGUGAUGGGGUGACGGAGAAGGAUAGAUCAUCCGUGUUUUGGAUUACACGGUUCAAGCUCGUAGGAUUAAGAAAUUGGCAAAUCCGUUUCUUUUUAAGUCCGAGAAGUGAGUACGAGAGGCCCUAGGCCUCAUAAAGUGAUUGAUUCCAUGCUUCCUAGAAAAACCUCUAAAUUUUGAUUAACAGGUGCUCGUACUGUAAACGGACACACGUACGCGGGUAGAGUAUACCAAGGUGUUUGAGAUAAUUAUGGCCAAGGAACUCGGCAAAAUAGCUCCGUAACUUCGGGAUAAGGAGUACCUAUAUUAGGUGAAAGAUCUUGCAUCUGGAGCUGAAAUAGGUGUCACUGAAAUGAUGGAAGCGACUGUUUACCAAAAACACAGGCCUGUGCUAACCCGCAAGGGGAUGUAUACGGGCUGACGCCUGCCCGGUGCUGGACGGUUAAGGGGAUGGGUUAUCCUUCGGGAGAAGCUUAGAACCGAAGCCCCAGUAAACGGCGGCCGUAACUAUAACGGUCCUAAGGUAGCGAAAUUCCUUGUCGUCUAAUUAGCGACCCGCAUGAAUGGCGUAACGACUUCUGUACUGUCUCGGCCAUAAUCUCAGCGAAAUUGUAGUGCUGGUGAAGAUGCCAGCUUCCCGUUGUGGGACGGAAAGACCCCGUGCACCUUUACUAUAACCUAGCACUGGAUUUUGAUGUUAAAUGCGUAGGAUAGGUGGGAGACUAUGAAAGUUUGAUUUUGGUCAAGCUGGAGUCGUUGGUGAAAUACCACCCUUUUGAUGUUAGGAUUCUAACUUUAAUCCGUUAUCCGGAUUGAGGACAAUGUUAGGCGGGUAGUUUGACUGGGGCGGUUGACUCCUAAAGAGUAACGGAGUCGCUCAAAGGUUCUCUCAGCCUGAUUGGAAACCAGGCGUCGAGUGUAAUGGCACAAGAGAGCUUGACUGUGAGAUUGACAGAUCGAGCAGGUACGAAAGUAGGACAUAGUGACCCGGUGGCUUCCAUGUGGGAGGGCCAUCGAUCAUCGGAUAAAAGGUACGCCGGGGAUAACAGAUUAAUCGCGCCCAAGAGUUCACAUCGACGGCGCGGAUUGAUACCUCGAUGUCGGCUCAUCGCAUCCCGGGGCUGUAGAAGGUCCCAAGGGUUGAGCUGUUCGCUCAUUAAAGCGGUACGCGAGCUGGGUUCAGAACGUCGUGAGACAGUUCGGUCCCUAUCUACAACGGGCGAAGGAGAAUUGAGAGGGGUUGCUCAUAGUACGAGAGGACCUGAGUGAACAAACCUCUAGUGUACCAGUUGUGGUGCCAACCGCAUUGCUGGGUAGCUACGUUUGGAAAGGAUAACCGCUGAAAGCAUCUUAAGUGGGAAACCUGCCUCGAGAUUAUUUCUCCCGAACCUUUUGGUUCCUUAAGACCACUCGAAGACUACGAGUUUGAUAGGCACAGUGUGUAAGUU
rnacentral:rRNA from 1 species